rnacentral:lncRNA from 1 species
GGUGACCAAUCCAAUGAUGAAGAACCAGUGGCUGAGGAAGGAGACGAAAUUGUAAAAGAAAACAUGAAUGCAAAUGAGAAUGAUGAUGGAGAUGAUGUUGUACUAGAUGCAGGAAAUGGUGCUAAUGAUUAGAGGUUUAAGACUAUUUUUGAGGAAAGUGCGAGGACAGCUGCUGAUUUUAAGGCAUCUCAAAUGAAAGAUAACGAAGAAAAUGGAGAAGAAAUCAUAGAAGCAACAUAAAGUGAUGAUGAAGAUCUAUUAGGGGAUGUAUAAUGUCACGCCACCAAUCCUGAAUUGGUUCAAGGAAACGUACCAGCCAGUCUUAGGACAUUAAGGCAAGCGUUCCAUGGCCAAGAUAGAAGGUUAAGGACGUCAGGAUGUUGAGACUUAACCUUACGAGAGAAAGAAGUCAGCUAGGACGAGUAAGAUGGUAGCUGGACGAAGUGAACGAGUUGCUCAACCAGCUCAACGAAGCUAGGUUAAGUGAUACGCCUUAAAAGGAUCACUCGACCGGAUUGGAAAGGAUAUGAACUCCGAGGGAGAACUGAUGGAAUGAUGGAUCAC